GUGCUCGCUUCGGCAGCACAUAUACUAAAUUGGAACGAUACAGAGAAGAUUAGCAUGGCCCCUGCACAAGGAUGACACGCAAAUUCGUGAAGUGUUCCAUAUUUAA
rnacentral:snRNA from 1 species